GAUGAACGCUGGCGGCGUGCUUAACACUUGCAAGUCGAACGAUGAAGCCCAGCUUGCUGGGCGGAUUAGUGGCGAACGGGUGAGUAACACGUGAGUAACCUGCCCUUGACUCUGGGAUAAGCCCGGGAAACUGGGUCUAAUACCGGAUAGGAGCGCCUGUCGCAUGACGGGUGCUGGAAAGAUCUUUCGGUCAUGGAUGGACUCGCGGCCUAUCAGCUUGUUGGUGAGGUAACGGCUCACCAAGGCGACGACGGGUAGCCGGCCUGAGAGGGUGACCGGCCACACUGGGACUGAGACACGGCCCAGACCCCUACGGGAGGCAGCAGUGGGGAAUAUUGCACAAUGGGCGAAAGCCUGAUGCAGCGACGCCGCGUGAGGGAUGACGGCCUUCGGGUUGUAAACCUCUUUCAGCAGGGAAGAAGCGAAAGUGACGGUACCUGCAGAAGAAGCACCGGCUAACUACGUG
rnacentral:rRNA from 1 species